UUUAAACCUAUGAUCAAGAGGAGUAGGAAUAAAUAUUUGUAUAAGAGAGCCGCUAGCUGCUGAGAAUGCGGUUACAAAGUUUAUUCUGAAUGGACUUGUGAGGGAAGCCCGAAAUUGAAAAAAAGUAGGCGCUUACGGAGGCCCGAUCCGUUACCAGCAGGGUGUAUAUGUUAGUAUACAGAAUGAGAGGACGUUUUAUCGUCAAUUUGGGUGGUACCGCAGAAGCUUAAGGCUUUUGUCCCUUAU
rnacentral:ncRNA from 1 species